rnacentral:rRNA from 1 species
CCUACGGGUGGCUGCAGUGAGGAAUAUUGGUCAAUGGGCGCGAGCCUGAACCAGCCAAGUCGCGUGAGGGAAGACGGUCCUAUGGAUUGUAAACCUCUUUUGUCGGGGAGCAAAAGACGCCACGCGUGGCGUUCCGAGAGUACCCGAAGAAAAAGCAUCGGCUAACUCCGUGCCAGCAGCCGCGGUAAUACGGAGGAUGCGAGCGUUAUCCGGAUUUAUUGGGUUGAAAGGGGGCGCAGGGGGGAUGUCAAGUCAGUUGUAAAAAUGGAGGGCUUAACCCUAGUAGAGCAGUUGAAACUGGUUGUCUUGAGUACGUGAGAGGUAGGCGGAAUUCGUGGUGUAGCGGUGAAAUGCAUAGAUAUCACGAAGAACUCCGAUUGCGAAGGCAGCUUACCGGAGCGCAACUGACGCUGAUGCUCGAAAGUGUGGGUAUCAAACAGGAUUAGAUACCCUGGUAGUC